GGCGGCGGCGGUAACAGCCACGGCGGAGGCGACGGCGGUAACGGCCGCCGCAAUGGCAAUGGCAACGGAGGAGGAGGAGGUGGCGGUGGCAACGGUACCGGCGGCGGCGGCGACGACGACGACGAAGAGGAGCGCAAGCUGUCGAUCGUUCAGGAGCUGCCGGAGCUCACGGACACCGCCAGUCCGCCGCUGAGCUUGGCGUGCCUGUGCGAGAGGAAUCAGGGCGAGCCGCGCCGUCGCGACUCUUCUCGCCAUCAGCCGAACGGAUCAACGCGCGACGAUCGCAACGGACCGAUCAGCAGCAUCUCCGAGAAGGUGGAGGCGCGCGCGAGGGAAACGGAACCCUCGUGCCCGAACGAUGAGCAGAUUCUGCGUUACUGCGACUCGCCGACCUUCUCCGAGUUCUCCUCGUAGUGUUCAUCCCGGGGAGUCGCGACGGCCUCCCGUCGGCGUCCACCUUGGAGCUUGCGGCCCAACGAGAUAAGAGAGAAAGACCUUCGUCCGUUUUCCCCGCACUCUCUCAACGUCAGCGUUUUUCUAACAGCCGGACGUUUUGUACCUUCCCGCGAGGUGUGAGUGACUGAGUGAGAAACCUUCAACCCUCCGCACUCGCGUCCCCCCGCGUCCCGCCGCGCGGCUCUGCGUAAUGCCGUGCGUGCGUGCGACGAUAUCACGUCGAGAGAGAUACGCCCGGGCGGCCCCGGGGCGGAAUUUCGAUUCUACGUUGACCUCACGAAUCCCGUGGAUUUUCGAGGACUAAUGGAAAAUCCCGAGGCGCAGCGCUGUGUAGGCUAUUGUUUUGUCAAGCCACGGCUGAUUAGUCGCCGGUUGUUUGCCGGAGAAUGGGGGGACUUGUUUGAGAUUUAUUUAAUACUCUGAUCAUCUCUAUGAUCUACAUUGAAUCUCUCUUCACUUUAAUGCUUAAACGGAAGCACUCGGGGGAGUGUUCGCUUGAGAAUUAAUUAUGUGGCGUCGAGAUAGCACAAUAGCCUACAUGGUUAUAGUAUUUUAUCUCGAGGUUCUCUCCUUCGUGCUUGACACUGUUUACAAGGAUUAAUGUAGAAUUAAAAUUUCGACAGAUUUCGGUGUUGUAAUUUUUAAUUAAAUUUCAAAUCAAAAGAGACCUAAUCUAAAUUAAAGGAAAUCUAAAUCAGAGAGAGAGAGAGAGAGAGAGAGAAGUGUGUGUGCUGAGAGAAAUUAACUGUAUAAUACGAAAUAUCUCCGAAUCGUCUUGUUUUCUUUUGGUAUUUAGUCCUUUAACAAAAUCCGAGAAAAUGAAGUAAAAUAUUUAGACGAAAACUUUUAAAUCCUCGUCUAAAGUAAAUUUUCAUUUUACUUUCUUGUCAAAACUCUUCGAACUGAACUCGCUAACUUUCAGAAAUUACCUUGAAAUUUGUACAAAGUGGUACGAGUUUUUCUUUUGAUUUUUCGAGAAUUGGCUAAUUAGGAUAAAUGCGAAAAAGGAAAAAGGAAUUAAUUAUCUGGGAAAUCCUUCAUUACCGAACUUCCAAAUUACAUUUCGUAACAACAACACAUCUUUGAUAACGUUAUUAAAAUAAUCCAUUAAAACAUUUGGUAAAUUUUAAGUAACACAAGUAUAAUAUCGACAAAGUCGUUAAUAUUAAUGAAAUAAUCUUCUCGAGUGUGCACGGGCAACUAACGCGACAUGCGGAAAUAAAACUCGACGGCCGCGACGCGCCAGGUCGUCCGAACAAAAAUGAUUGUUUCGCAGACUACGAUUUUAUAUAGUUGUUCAUAAUUGAAACCAUCGGCUUUGUCGGUUAACGCGAGAAUGCUCCCACUGGUAUUCAGAAAGUUUCACCGUCACGAGUGAGUUUUUGAUCCAUUCAUCUCUCUCACGCGAGCUGCAAUAUAAAAGAACUUUUUCCUACACGCACACACAAAACACACACACAUACCAAUAACGCGAUAGCUUUUGUGUUAAUUUCACAUCAAUAGAACUAAAUUAAUAUUUCAGACAUUCUGAUAUGCAAACAAUGGACGCAAAGUACAAUAAUCGCGUUUAAUUUAUCGAUGAUUGUACUUUUUACACGAAUAUUCAUUUUCCAAGUAAUCGGUCGAUAUAUUUUUCGCGAUUGUUUGUCUGUCAGAUUCAUUAGCCAUUCAUUUAGCAGCGAUUUAGAAUGAAAGACAGCUCUGGAGUCGAUUUUAUUCUCACCUGUACGCUCUAUACAAAUUUUGCUAUAUUACGAUAUUAAAGAUUUGACGUUUUCAAUUGUUUUUUUUUUCCCGGAAAUAAACAACAAAGUCUUUCGUUUGACUCUUAGAAUACAAUUUUCAUAAUUAAUUUCGUUCAAUUUUAAAAUUGUUGUUACUACCACCAGCAUGUUCUACAAAUCUCGCCCAUUGAUAUUGGAACACUGUGUACAUACUUUAGUAAAUAUGAAAACGGAUAUAAAUGUGUUAGAGAAUAUACGCGGAGAUCCUAAAAAAAUCGAUAAUCAAAUUAACCGAGUAAUUUCGCAUUCUAUCGUUCGGUCGCGGAUGCGAUUGUUAGUAUUAGCGAGUAAUCUCAGUCGUAGUUGGCGUGAUAGACGAAAAUACUACUAAAUAAUAGUAAAGCGAUUACGUAGGAAUGCCAGUUGCCAAAAAUAUUCAAAGCAGGGAUUUGGUCGCGGUGCUCCCCAGUCGUCCUCAAAGAUUUAUCUCUACGUCGUCGUGGUUUUUGUCUUUCAUUUAAAUUCAAAGCGAUAAUUCGGCCGAGCCCCAUAAACGUGGAAGCCGCGUAAAGUUGAAGUUAAAAUGACGAAGGAAGUACAAAUCAACGACUAACUUACCACACUCUGUCCUUAUUCUCAUCCUCAAUACCCAGAAACUUUUGCAUCACGUAACUUGAAGUGCCACAAAUAAACCAGUAUCGAGUCAACCACGAUAGAUCCUCCCCCCCCCCGAAAAACGAACGCGAAAAGUUAAGAAACACGGCUCGAACUCAAUUCGCAAUAUGUAUGCAUACGCUAAAAUUGAGACAACGACGAAUCGACACGCGCGAGCGCAAUCGCUACAUCGAGUACGCCUAAUGAUCAUUAAUUAUAUCGAGUCAGGCGAAAAAGUGUCAGACUCGGUUUCUCAGUCCAAAUUGACUUUAUCGUACACCCCGCAGAAAGAGAGAUUACUCGUCGAUCGGGUAAAUUUGCCGACAUAAACAUUGACUUGGAGACAACAACGGUCAUCACUCGGUUGACGUGAAUAAUUCACUUCCAUCGAAUAUGAUAAAAUCGAAUCGUUCGCUAAGAGGAAUCGAGUUGCACUUUCCGACUGACUCAAAUACUACUUUUACUGUGUUUCGCGAAAAAAAAGAAGAGAAAAGAAGAAGAAGAAGAAGAAGAAAGAGAGAGAUCGCGCACCGACCCCGUAACAUUCCUGUACAAAAAACAAGCCAAAAUCAAAGCGAUUUUACUUGCAGCACGAUAAGAAUUGCUAGGUAAGGAAAACUCGACGAAACGUUUCGGCGGUAGUUACUGUACUUAAUGUUGUUAUAGCCAUCGCGUUUGUGGCGCGAAUCCACAAACUCGUGUUGUAGAGAGCUGUUAUUAUCGUUUCCGGAGGAUACCGAAGGAGGCGAAGGUCUCACUGAGGCGAUUUACGUGUGGCUACGUCGCGCAUUGUACAUACGAUAUAUGCCUAAGACACAUAGUUAUUAUUAUUUAUUUAUCUCGUUGUCUCUCGGUGAUUUUACUAGUGUAUUAUUUGGAACGAAUGUUACAGUAUAGGGAAGAAAAAAAUAAAAAAGAAACAUACGUUAAGAAACUUGCGCCGCCGAGAGGAAGCUCGAGUACGGCCCCGUUGGAGAAGAAAAGAACUUCUUUUUAACUCAGCGGAGACUUAAAUUUCUCUUGUUUGGCUCCUUGGUAGAAGUAUACAAAAUUGCAAAGGUGAAUGCACGCUGAGUGACAUCGUCUUUGUCGGAAACUUUAGCAAGUAGUCUGAACUUUUAAUAUCAAGAGAAGGUGCGAUAAAAUAUUUGACUUUUUGUGGGAUGCGUUCAACCUUCUGUUUGAGUUUUAUACUAUUUAGGAAGCGUCGAGUGUUUCUACUUCUGCUUCACUAAAAUUAAGAGAAAAGAGAAGAGAGAGAGAGAGAGAGAGAGAGAAAGAUAUAUAUAUAUAUCUUAUUGAUUAAUUUACUUAGUGAGACAUUCAAUGAUCAAGAGUCUAUAAAUGUACAUAAAAUUACAACUGAGCGAUCGCGGAACAUCUUGCUUCGCCAAAGCGAGGUGCUCCUUAAUUAAUAAUUGUACAAAGUUUAUGGAACGUUGAAAUAUGUAAAAGGACGAGGCGUGCAUGUAUUAAAUAGCUGUUAUACGUGUGUACUUAUGUGCCUAGCAUUUCGUGAGCUAACUUUUCGUAACGGUGUAUCGAUGUUCUCGUGAUUAAGUCGAGCAAUGAUGAAAAGACGCGCAGGCUUAGAGAAAACGAAAAAACGCGACUCCGCUCUCCUCAGUAUGCGAGCCAACUCUCUGUCGCGUAUGAAACUGUAAGAUUUUGAUCAAAGAGUUAAUUUACGGUUCCAGCUAACUUCCGAGCCUGCAGCUCAUAAAUCUCACUUUGGCUUUACAAGUACAAAUUUCAUCGUUAUCGCGAUUUAUCGCAGCGUAUAUUGAAUUCUUCGCUCUCGCCCAUUUAUAUUCGUAUACCGUAAACGAGAAAUCACUUACGAAUGAGGAAUGAUAUUGUCGUCGAGCAACAUUGUUACUCGACUUAACGCAACACCGAGUAGUAGGGUGCACGGACGAUUGUUGACAGUAUUGUUUACCGGACAUGCGACGUAAUCGUAUGUACACCGAAACUAUCGGCGCGCGCAAGGAGGCUUGAAUAAUUUCAUAAAUAUACAACUGCCUGCGAUAAUAAACCGACUAACGAACGAAACACCGACGAAACUCUGUACAUAUAUGCGGCUACUAGUCUCUAAGCUCGCCCGCGGACGAGAUCCUUCCCUGCGCGGCUCUAACAAUAACGUCUCGUUAA